UACGGUGGGGGCAAGCGUUGUUCGGAAUUAUUGGGCGUAAAGAGCUCGUAGGCGGUCUGUCGCGUCGAAUGUGAAAACCCGGGGCUCAACCCCGGGCCUGCAUUCGAUACGGGCAGACUAGAGUUCGGUAGGGGAGUCUGGAAUUCCUGGUGUAGCGGUGAAAUGCGCAGAUAUCAGGAGGAACACCGGUGGCGAAGGCGGGUCUCUGGGCAGUAACUGACGCUGAGGAGCGAAAGCGUGGGGAGCGAACAGG
rnacentral:rRNA from 1 species